UAAAUACAGACCACUUUGCGUUCAACUAUUCACACUGCAGCUGCAGCAAGCUAAAGAGACAGGCUUUUCAGGCUCACUCUCUGACUUCCUCCUCUCUACAGUCACUUAUUUUGCCCCAUCUCCAAGAUGUGCGACAAAGAUCCGUCCUUGCUUGGAGUAAU